ACAAAGUUGUCAUAAAGGAUUUGGAGCCCUCUAAAUCCCAUUCAUUUUAAUGGAAGUUGGCCUUUUGAUUCAGCUUUGAAAAUCUCAGGCCAAGGUGCCAACCAAAUAAGUCAAAAUAUAUUUUGCAUUUCUAUGCAGUGCAUCUAUGUGGGGCUCUCCAAGCAUUUUACAAACAUUCAAUGAAACUCAGGAUAUCCCUGCUUUUCAGAAGAAAUGUGGUGGUGAGGAAAUUCUGGGAACAUCUCUCGCGCUGUGUGUGAUCUGUUUCUACUGUCCUUGGACCACCCUAGAAAGGCCCUUACUGCCUCAUUUCCAGUUCACAGAAGAUGUGCUCCUGGAUAAUUUUCUCAAAGAGCUUCCUCAGGGCCAAGUCUUGGCACAUCCCAUCAAUGAUGACAACGACUGGACCAUCUGGCUUCAAGAUAUUGGAUUUUUCUUCUUCACAUAUUACUUGCUACACACUCUAUUAAAUAUAUCAUUGAACUGAUUUUGACUUUUUUCUCACCUUUUGGUUUUCUUUUAACUUAUCUUGCUCAUCAGGGAAGUUUCCUAGAGCUAUCUCGAGGCUGAAUUAAUCACAAUAUAGCAGUCUCAACUGAGAAUUUUCUUGCUUUCAUUCAUUUAUUUUAAUCUGUUAUAAUAGAUUACUGGUCCAUGCAUCAGAUCUAGAAAAUGCAGGCUCCCUGCAGCCAUAUGUUAGAACCUUGGCAGAGUGGACUUAUUCCAACAUCUUCUGAGGAAGAUAAUCUGAAUACUGUGAAGUUUGCUGUGUGCGUCUUACAGAUAAGAUAACUUUUAAAAAUGAGAUCUGUUUGCUCUGCAUGGCGAUACCUUUUUUUAGAAACAGGAGUUUGUGUUGGCUAAACUUUUUGUUGGCUAAAAUUUUGAUCCUCCCACUGUUUUGUAAUAUGCUACAUAGUACAGAGUAAGUGCAAAUUUAGAUGCAAAAAGCCCUUAGGUUUAACCCUGGUUCUGUCACUAACUCAUUAAGUGGCCUUAAGUAAGUCACUUGAUCUUACAGUCUUAUUUUCAGGAAAGCAUGAUGUUCUGUUUUACAGUCAAAUUCAUGGAAAUGUCAGAAUAAAUAACUGUUUAAUGUUUGCACAGUGAUUUUCAGAUAUGAAGUGUUAUCUAUUAUUAGUUCUUUUCUUCCCUAGUUGCUGGUAUCUUUCCUUCCAAAUGUUUAGGAAGUAUUAAAAACAGUUUAUGAAGUGCUUUGGGAUGCUACAGGCAAAAACAUUUUCCACACCUUUAAAAUAUUAUCUAGAUUGUUUUGUUAAAUGUAUACACAUAGUUCCAUAAAUACUUAUGCAAAUGUUUAUAGAAAAAAUGAUAAAUAGUGUCAUGCCACCAAAAGUAAUUGUAUGUUUGUUACUUAACUUCUUGCAUAUAUAACUUUUCCAAUUCAGCUAUAUCGUACUGUGAAGUUUUAAAGAGAUAUUGUCAUUUUGUUGUG